GAUGAACGCUGGCGGCGUGCCUAAUACAUGCAAGUCGAGCGAACAGACGAGGAGCUUGCUCCUCUGACGUUAGCGGCGGACGGGUGAGUAACACGUGGAUAACCUACCUAUAAGACUGGGAUAACUUCGGGAAACCGGAGCUAAUACCGGAUAAUAUAUUGAACCGCAUGGUUCAAUAGUGAAAGCCGGUUUUGCUGUCACUUAUAGAUGGAUCCGCGCCGCAUUAGCUAGUUGGUAAGGUAACGGCUUACCAAGGCAACGAUGCGUAGCCGACCUGAGAGGGUGAUCGGCCACACUGGAACUGAGACACGGUCCAGACUCCUACGGGAGGCAGCAGUAGGGAAUCUUCCGCAAUGGGCGAAAGCUUGACGGAGCAACGCCGCGUGAGUGAUGAAGGUCUUCGGAUCGUAAAACUCUGUUAUUAGGGAAGAACAAAUGUGUAAGUAACUAUGCACGUCUUGACGGUACCUAAUCAGAAAGCCACGGCUAACUACGUG
rnacentral:rRNA from 1 species